CAAAGCUUUUUAGUAUAAGUAUCUCCCAUGUUAUGUUUGGGGUAUACUUAUGCUAAAAAGUUUAUUCUAGGGUGGGGGAA
rnacentral:miRNA from 1 species